UGGGGAAUAUUGGACAAUGGGGGAAACCCUGAUCCAGCGAUGCCGCGUGAAUGAAGAAGGCCUUAGGGUUGUAAAGUUCUUUCACCUGUGACGAUGAUGACGGUAACAGGAGAAGAAGCCCCGGCUAACUCCGUGCCAGCAGCCGCGGUAAGACGGAGGGGGCUAGCGUUGAUCGGAAUGACUGGGCGUAAAGGGCGCGUAGGCGGCUUAUCAAGUCAGGUGUGAAAGCCUUGGGCUUAACCCAAGAAUUGCGCUUGAUACUGAUAAGCUAGAGGAUGAUAGAGGAUAGCGGAAUUACUAGUGUAGGGGUGGAAUUCGUAGAUAUUAAGACGGACACCCGAGGCGGAGGCGGCUUUCUGAAUCAUAUCUGGCGCUGAGGCUCGAAAGCGUGGGGAGCAAACA
rnacentral:rRNA from 1 species